ACCAUUCACCGCCUUUAAUCAAUAUACAAACCACCCCGCCUGAGCCCCUUUUCUUUCUCUCUCGCUCACCCGCGCGGGACCUUCUCCUCUCUGUCUCCCGCAUACUCUCUCACUCCUCUCUAUCUCACUCACUCCGACCCGAGUCCGACGCCGCUGUCGCUGCCGACGCCGCUGCCGCUGCCGCCGUCGCCGGCGCCGUCUGUACCCGCUCCCGAGCUCCUGUGUCUCUCGAGCUUCUCCUUUCUGUCUCCCGCACGCUCCCUCACUCCUCUCUAUCUCACUCACUCCGACCCGAGUCCGACGCAGCCGUCGCUGCCGCCGCCGCCGGCGCCGACUGUACUGCUUCUGCCGUGCCUUCUCUCCUCAGCAUUGCAAGGACAUUGUUCCAUUAGGUUAGUGGUGAUAGGUUUGAGAAAAAUCUAAUUGUUUUUGAAAUAGAGUUGAUUGUUUCUAAAUAAUUAUAUUAUUUUACAGUAUUUUGUCUAUAUUUUGUGGUAU
rnacentral:lncRNA from 1 species